rnacentral:rRNA from 1 species
UACAGAGGGUGCGAGCGUUGUCCGGAAUCACUGGGCGUAAAGGGCGCGUAGGUGGCGGCCCAAGUCCAUGGUGAAAGCUCGAUGCUCAACAUCGAGUCGGCCACGGAUACUGGGUUGCUGGAGCACUGUAGAGGCAGAUGGAAUUCCGGGUGUAGCGGUGGAAUGCGUAGAGAUCCGGAAGAACACCGGUGGCGAAGGCGGUCUGCUGGGCAGUUGCUGACACUGAUGCGCGACAGCGUGGGGAGCAAACAGG